rnacentral:misc_RNA from 1 species
UAGCCACCCAAAACCAACGAGAAAAAUGCCUUCCAAAGAUAACAACAAACAAUCAAACUCUCGACAAACCUGUUGAUACCGUAAGUAAUAGAACAAUCCCUGCAGCUAAUGUUUGCCAACCUUGCUGCUAAUUUGAUUAUCGCAAAUUACAAAUGAAAAAGAUGAAGCUAAACGGAAAAUUUGCACAUUUUGGUGAUUAGCUGAUCAAGCAGUGAUAUGAUUAAAUACAGCCAAUAUAUAUAUACACAUCAUGAAGCAUCCACCCAUUUAUACUGAUAAGUUGUAUACUGUCACAAGGAUUAAAUUCUCCUUGACAACGAGGCCAAGGAUACACAAAUUAAUUGCGAGAGAAUAUUUAUUUAGGUUGCAUUAUGAGAUGAAGCAGCCUCCAAUGCAUAUGCUUGAGAAGGCUGUAGCUCCUGUUGCUCUCCUUGUUUUAGUAUUUGCUGUUGCUGAUGCUGCUGCUGUUCUCCUUGCCAUGUCCAAACAAUGUCCUUGAGUGCAGGUCUAAUCUCUUGUUUUAGUACUGUCUGAUACUCCAGUGUAUCUCCACUGGACUUCUUCAUUUCCACCAAAUGAAAACAAGGAGUGAUCUCAAAGAUUUCUGCAUCGAUGCCCAGUGCUCCUUUCCUGCCUUCCUUUGAACCUUCAAAUUUCAACAAGCCUGCAUCCUUCUUCUUUAUUUUCAGCUUCAGACGGUUAGCAAUGUCUUCAAGCUUUGAGAUGAUGAUUACGGAAGGCUUGUUGGAAGUAAACCGCACCUCUUUCUUUUUCUCCUUUUCCUCAAACAAGCCAGACAAGUCAAAGCCUGCAGAAUAGGAGAUGAUAUCAAAUGCAUUCAAGUUACAAGGUUUUGCCAAUUCUUGCUUGGAUUCUGUAACAGCACAGCUACUCUCGUCCACAUUAAACACAGCAUCGCAAUCCAGAUAAGCUGGUUCUUUUGUGUCUGUCUCAAUGAUUAGGGAUUGAAGUUCUAACCCCUUACGAAACCAGGAGUUUUCCAUUAUUUUGGCCAUGGAUAUCCUUGAGCUAGGGUUUGGAUCCAGGAUCUUUGAUAGAAGCUUGCGUACUUCAGGUGCAAACCAAUUAGGGAAUUUAAAUUCUGCCUUUCCAAUCUUCCUAUACAUCUCCAUCAGAUUUGUAUCAUGGAAUGGCAGAUAGCCAGCCAAUAGAACAUAUAAGAUCACCCCACAUGACCAAAUAUCAGCUUUGGAUCCAUCAUAACCCUUUCUGUUUAUCACUUCUGGAGCAACAUAAGCAGGGGUCCCACAGGUAGUAUGAAGUAACCCAUCCUGUCGCUUACAUUCUGCAAGGGCACUUAAACCAAAAUCCGAAACCUUUAGAUUCCCAUUCUCAUCCAAGAGUAGGUUUUCUGGUUUCAAAUCACGAUGAGAUACUCCUCUACUGUGGCAAUAAUCAACUGCACUGAUCAACUGUUCAAAAUAUUUUCUUGCAACAUCCUCCUUGAGCUUCCCCUUAGCUACUUUGUUGAAAAGCUCACCGCCUUUAAUAUAUUCCAUGACAAAGUAAAUCUUGGUUUUGGUAGCCAUAACCUCAUAAAGUUCUACAAUAUUUGGAUGUCUAACCAGUCUCAUAACCGAAAUUUCUCGCUUAAUCUGCUCCAUCAUUCCAACCUUCAGUAUCUUCUCUUUGUCAAUUAUCUUGAUGGCUACACUAUUUCCAGUUCGAAGAUUCCUUGCAUGGUGCACUCUGGCAAAGGUUCCCUGGCCUAGCAAUCUGCCUAUCUCAUACUUCUGCAUCAACACAUGCCCUUUGUUUUCCAUUUCGAGCUACAAUAUUUGAACAAAAUAAAGCUACUAUACUUGCUAAGGCAAUAUGACUGAUAUAGUUAUUUAUGGAAUUGCUCUCAAUAGCCUAAAAGCUCAACCAUCUUCACAAACAUCGUACUUUGACAAGAUAUGAGCUCCUGUAUCUCUUGUCACACCAAGCAUUUGAGCACAAUGAAACGGGCAGUGAGUUAAAUGGUCAGCCUCAUAAAGGAUAUACAAAGGUAGCCCACCACAUGGAGCUAUGAUCUUGUCAACUUCAGAGGAAGAAAUUCCGCAUUUUAACAUCUUUCAGCAUUCCCUAUUUUUUGUGAUUGACUAGAUAAUUCUGAUGAAGAUGGAAAAGAAUGAAUUGCGAACCUUUAGGCAGAUAGCUAAUGAAACAGAUCAGAUGCAGGCCAAAGUUUCAACGAAUGUAAGAGAUGUUCACCUAUGAAAGGAGUUGCAGGAAGUUUCCGGAGAAAGAGAGAAUGAGAGGAGGAUGUGAUAUAAAGUUGAAGGUUUCAACUUUGAACCCUGAAGAACGCUAAAAACCUGGGGGCCUCACAUCGCAUCGUCCUUCUUAUACC